ACGAUGAAGAGUUUGAUCCUGGCUCAGGAUGAACGCUAGCGGCAGGCUUAACACAUGCAAGUCGAGGGGUAACAGGGUAGCUUGCUAUUGCUGACGACCGGCGCACGGGUGCGUAACGCGUAUACAAUCUACCUUAUACUGGGGUAUAGCCUUUAGAAAUGAAGAUUAACCCCCCAUAGUCUCUUUUAGUGGCAUCACUUUUAGAGUAAAGGUUACGGUAUAAGAUGAGUAUGCGUUCUAUUAGUUUGUUGGUAAGGUAACGGCUUACCAAGACUACGAUAGAUAGGGGCCCUGAGAGGGGGAUCCCCCACACUGGUACUGAGACACGGACCAGACUCCUACGGGAGGCAGCAGUGAGGAAUAUUGGACAAUGGAGGCAACUCUGAUCCAGCCAUGCCGCGUGUAGGAUGACUGCCCUAUGGGUUGUAAACUACUUUUAUACAGGAAGAAACACCUCUACGUGUAGAGGCUUGACGGUACUGUAAGAAUAAGGAUCGGCUAACUCCGUGCCAGCAGCCGCGGUAAUACGGAGGAUCCAAGCGUUAUCCGGAAUCAUUGGGUUUAAAGGGUCCGUAGGUGGAUAAUUAAGUCAGAGGUGAAAUCUUGCAGCUCAACUGUAAAAUUGCCUUUGAUACUGGUUAUCUUGAGUUAUUAUGAAGUAGUUAGAAUAUGUAGUGUAGCGGUGAAAUGCAUAGAUAUUACAUAGAAUACCAAUUGCGAAGGCAGAUUACUAAUAAUCAACUGACACUGAUGGACGAAAGCGUGGGUAGCGAACAGGAUUAGAUACCCUGGUAGUCCACGCCGUAAACGAUGGUUACUAGCUGUUUGGACUUCGGUCUGAGUGGCUAAGCGAAAGUGAUAAGUAACCCACCUGGGGAGUACGUUCGCAAGAAUGAAACUCAAAGGAAUUGACGGGGGCCCGCACAAGCGGUGGAGCAUGUGGUUUAAUUCGAUGAUACGCGAGGAACCUUACCAGGGCUUAAAUGUAAGUUGCAUUAGUUAGAGAUAGCUAUUUCUUCGGACCACUUACAAGGUGCUGCAUGGUUGUCGUCAGCUCGUGCCGUGAGGUGUCAGGUUAAGUCCUAUAACGAGCGCAACCCCUGUUGUUAGUUGCCAGCGAGUCAUGUCGGGAACUCUAACAAGACUGCCAGUGCAAACUGUGAGGAAGGUGGGGAUGACGUCAAAUCAUCACGGCCCUUACGUCCUGGGCUACACACGUGCUACAAUGGUAGGGACAGAGAGCAGCCACUACGCGAGUAGGAGCGAAUCUAUAAACCCUAUCACAGUUCGGAUCGGAGUCUGCAACUCGACUCCGUGAAGCUGGAAUCGCUAGUAAUCGGAUAUCAGCCAUGAUCCGGUGAAUACGUUCCCGGGCCUUGUACACACCGCCCGUCAAGCCAUGGAAGUUGGAAGUGCCUGAAGUCCGUCACCGCAAGGAGCGGCCUAGGGUAAAGUCGAUAACUAGGGCUAAGUCGUAACAAGGUAGCCGUACCGGAAGGUGCGGCUGGAACACCUCCUUU
rnacentral:rRNA from 1 species